UACGGAGGGGGCGAGCGUUAUUCGGAAUUAUUGGGCGUAAAGCGCGUGUAGGCGGCCCGGUAAGUCCGCUGUGAAAGUCGGGGGCUCAACCCUCGAAUGCCGGUGGAUACUGUCGGGCUAGAGUGCGGGAGAGGCGAGUGGAAUUCCUGGUGUAGCGGUGAAAUGCGCAGAUAUCAGGAGGAACACCAAUUGCGAAGGCAGCUCGCUGGAACGUAACUGACGCUGAGACGCGAAAGCGUGGGGAGCAAACAGG
rnacentral:rRNA from 1 species